UACGUAGGGGGCAAGCGUUUGUCCGGAUUCAUUGGGCGUAAAGAGCGUGUAGGCGGCCUGAAAGGUCAGCUGUGAAAACUCGAGGCUCAACCUCGAGACGUCGGUUGAAACCAUCUGGCUAGAGUCCGGAAGAGGAGUGUGGAAUUCCCGGUGUAGCGGUGAAAUGACGCAGAUAGUCGGGAAGAACACCCGUGGCGAAGGCGGGCACUCGUGGGACGGUACUGACGCGAUGAGACGGCGAAAAGCGUGGGGGAGCCGAACGAGG
rnacentral:rRNA from 1 species